GGACUACUAGGGUUUCUAAUCCCGUUUGCUCCCCACGCUUUCGCGCCUCAGCGUCAGGGCAGGCCCAGAGCCCCGCCUUCGCCACCGGUGUUCCUCCCGAUCUCUACACAUUUCACCGCUACACCGGGAAUUCCAGACUCCUCUGCCCCCCUCAAGACCCUCAGUUUCGGCCGACCCCCGCGGGUUGAGCCCGCGGAUUUCACGACCGACUUCUCGGCCCGCCUACGCGCCCUUUACGCCCAGUAAUUCCGAGCAACGCUUGCCCCCUCUGUCUUACCGCGGCGGCUGGCAC
rnacentral:rRNA from 1 species